rnacentral:rRNA from 1 species
UAGAGUUUGAUCCUGGCUCAGGAUGAACGCUAGCUACAGGCUUAACACAUGCAAGUCGAGGGGAAACGAUGUUGGAAGCUUGCUUCCGAUAGGCGUCGACCGGCGCACGGGUGAGUAACGCGUAUCCAACCUGCCCACCACUUGGGGAUAACCUUGCGAAAGUAAGACUAAUACCCAAUGAUAUCUCUAGAAGACAUCUGAAAGGGAUUAAAGAUUUAUCGGUGAUGGAUGGGGAUGCGUCUGAUUAGCUUGUUGGCGGGGUAACGGCCCACCAAGGCGACGAUCAGUAGGGGUUCUGAGAGGAAGGUCCCCCACAUUGGAACUGAGACACGGUCCAAACUCCUACGGGAGGCAGCAGUGAGGAAUAUUGGUCAAUGGGCGAGAGCCUGAACCAGCCAAGUAGCGUGCAGGAUGACGGCCCUAUGGGUUGUAAACUGCUUUUAUAAGGGAAUAAAGUGAGUCUCGUGAGACUUUUUGCAUGUACCUCAUGAAUAAGGACCGGCUAAUUCCGUGCCAGCAGCCGCGGUAAUACGGAAGGUCCGGGCGUUAUCCGGAUUUAUUGGGUUUAAAGGGAGCGUAGGCCGGAGGUUAAGCGUGUUGUGAAAUGUAGAUGCUCAACGUCUGCACUGCAGCGCGAACUGGUUUCCUUGAGUACGCACAAAGUGGGCGGAAUUCGUGGUGUAGCGGUGAAAUGCUUAGAUAUCACGAAGAACUCCGAUUGCGAAGGCAGCUCACUGGAGCGCAACUGACGCUGAAGCUCGAAAGUGCGGGUAUCGAACAGGAUUAGAUACCCUGGUAGUCCGCACGGUAAACG